UCCUUGCAAAGGGCAUGAUUACACAAAUCAUCAAUACCUUUGAGUGAGAUAAGAGUAGGACACACAACAUUUGACUGAGAGGUAUCGGGAACAAGGGGUACAAUACCUAAACUCAUAGAAAAAGUUCGAAUACUAUCUAAGGGGGUAUCCUCCCUAUCAUCCAAGUCAUCAAAUUCUUCAAGUUUAGGUUCAUAGAUUUGAUUUUCUAAUCGCUCAUCUCUCAUAUUCUUUUGCUCUUCAAUGAAUAAGGCUCAGUUAGAACAUUCAGAAGAGAUGUGUCCAAAGUCCUUAUAGUUGAAGCACUGCAAAUGAGAAGAAGUUAUUGAAGUUUCAAAAUCUUGACCUUUA
rnacentral:lncRNA from 1 species